GGAAAAAACUCAAACGUCUCUCUUCUCUUCCCAUUAUCGAUCGCCAUAUCUAAUGCUCUGUUGGAGCAUUCCUGCCGCCGCCUCCUCCACUUGUGCUAGCCACUGCAUAACACAGGAAGGCUUGUUUAACCUUGCCCUGCAUUUAAGUGAAGUCGGUGCAUUCUUCUUGAUAUCAAAGUUGUGGGCUGAUAUGAAGUUGGGCAUGCUUAAAGGCUGAAGAUCGUCACUUCAGUCUUCCUUGUAUCUGUGGUUUUAUAAAGGUAUUUAUUUUCAAGCACUUAGAAUGCUGUGAAUAGGUUUUUGAUGUGAAAAUUAUAGCUCUAUCUCUGGCUUUCAUGUUUCAACUAUUGAGCCUGGUAAUAACGGUUCAAUUUUGACACUAAUUAGAACAGUUGUCCUACAGUUGUCCUACAGUUCCUACUACCCUGAUGGUAGUAGAUGCGGUAUUCUUGUUGCAGAAAUCUAGUUCCAUUUCAUAAAUCAACUGCGACAAUAAAAGGUAAAAGUAAACAAGAGGAGGCAGCCAUGAGUUUUACCAGGAUAAAAGCCUUGAUGUUCUCUCUUGUCAAUCUUAUGUCUGAGCUUUCAUCUUCAGAUAUAUCGAGCAAUAUAUCAAGUAGAUCCUUCAUUUGUUGACUUGCAUCAUUGUUAUGCCGACGCUUCGUCCUUGUCUCUUGAUGUUCCUCUAUGAUCUUCUCAAUCAUUACAUCAAACCUCUCAGCAAUAUACCUAUGUUGUAUCUGCUGCUUCAUUGAAGUACUUUCUCUUGACCUCUGAUCUGCAGAGUUAUGCCUGAACAUAUACAAUUCGUGGCUAUCAACUCUCCUUACGGCUCAAUGCGCAGCUACCUAAGUGAAGAAUUGAUAUGAACAAACAAAGGGGUAUUUGGAGAUAUGUGUUUUGGCUGGAAUUUUUUUUGUUUUUAAGUUUCUAUUUAUUUACUGAAGAACAUAAAACAGAGACAGAAACAAGACGAGGCGGUUGGAGUAGGGGUGGAAACGGGAGAAGCAGAAAUUGGUUUAUACAGUUGGCCUCUUGAGUUAGGAUUUAUUUGUAACUGAUAGUUUUUAGCUUUUUGGUUUAUGCAGUUGAAGCAUUUGAUCAAGUGUUUUUGUUGCAUAUGUAGGAUUUAUUUGUAACUGAUUGUUUUCUUACCUUUUUUUCAUGAAAUAUUGCUUCUUGAUUUUGUAGUUAUUGUCACAUGAGUGAAAAAUUGCUUCAACUUUUCCUCUCUCA